rnacentral:lncRNA from 1 species
UUAAAACAUGUAGAUAUAAGAUAUCACUUUGUGAGAGACAAGAUUAAAGAACAUAACAUAUCUGUUAUCUACAUAAGUACAGUUGACCAGUUGGCUGAUUUCUUUACAAAGCCUUUGAGCUUAGUUAGAUUUACGAGGUUUUGUUUAGAAUUAGGGCUUAGAUCUUAGACUAAAAUUUCUGUUUCGCCAGGCAUAUUUACCAUUGAGGGCGGGUGUUAAAGUUACAAUGGUAAAUACGCUCUAAGUUGGUUGUAUGUGGCACCAUUGGAUUAUAAGAAGAGUCUGUCAUCUGUGUGUUUUGGAUGUCAAGUAGUUUUUGAUAACCUUACUUUUAAGUUAUCGAAAAAGGUCAUGUCACGUUUUCGUAUAUUCAUUUUCAUCUUUAGAAUUUAAUCCGUUGUUAAAACGUUUCUUAAUAGCAACAAUAUAAACCUUCAUUUCUUAUUUCCGUUGUUUAAAUUACUGCCAACAUAUUCCUUCAUCACUGCUGGUUACUACCG